rnacentral:rRNA from 1 species
AUGGAAGAGUUAGGUCUGAAAGAAGAUGAACUUGAGGAUGUGGUGAUGGAAGAUGAGGUGCUGCCAGAGGCGGCGACCCGUUGGAUGAUCAUUGCUAGGGUUCACACUGAAAAAACCUAUAGUCAAUUCUGGUUUUAUAGAACCAUGAGGGUGGCUUGGGACCUGGCAAAGGAAGUCAAGAUCAAGCCGUUGGAGGAGAACUUGUACACGAUGCAGUUUGGCUGCAUGGGAGAUUGGGAGCGCGUAAUGGAGGAAGGACUGUGGGCUUACAAAGGGAAAGCGGUGGUGCUGGCGCCGUAUGAUGGCUUUACUAAGCCGUCGAUGAUUGAGCUUAAUAAAGUUGAGAUGUGGAUUAAGAUCCAUGACUUCCCAUAA